AUGAUCUCCGCUAGCUCCGGCGACCUCUACACCUUCUUCGGCAAUAACAAACCUUGGAGCACCGCCCUCUCCGCCACAACCUCCACCGCCGACGUAUGGCAUCACCGGCUUGGCCACCCCAGCCCCCAAGUUACUUCUUCCUUAGCGGCCCAAAAUUUUCUUCCAUCUUGUAAUAAAAUUGCGCAUACACCAUGUAAUGCUUGCCAACUUGGACGGCAGCCACGCCUCCCCUUUCCUACUUCACAUAGUCGCACUUUUACUCCAUUUGAGCUCAUUCAUUGUGACUUAUGGACCAGCCCCGUUGUAAGCUUUUCCGGUUAUCAAUAUUACUUAAUUGUGCUUGAUGAUUACACUCACUUCUCCUGGUCUUUUCCUCUUCGCAAUAAGUCGGACACAUCUCUUACUCUCCAACGCUUUUUCUCUUACGUCCGUACACAAUACAGUGAUCAUCAAAGCACUUCAAUGCGAUAA
rnacentral:rRNA from 1 species